UUAAUUCGAAGCAACGCGAAGAACCUUACCAGCUCUUGACAUCUUCUGCCAACCUAAGAGAUUAGGUGUUCCCUUCGGGGACAGAAUGACAGGUGGUGCAUGGUUGUCGUCAGCUCGUGUCGUGAGAUGUUGGGUUAAGUCCCAUAACGAGCGCAACCCUUAUUGUUAGUUGCCAGCAUUCAGUUGGGCACUCUAGCGAGACUGCCGGUGAUAAACCGGAGGAAGGUGGGGAUGACGUCAAGUCAGCAUGCCCCUUACGUCCUGGGCUACACACGUACUACAAUGCUACGGACAAAGGGCCGCAAGCUAGCGAUAGCAAGCAAAUCCCAUAAACCGUGGCUCAGUUCAGAUUGCAGGCUGCAACUCGCCUGCAUGAAGGCGGAAUCGCUAGUAAUCCCAGAUCAGCACGC
rnacentral:rRNA from 15 species